UACAGAGGGUGCAAGCGUUGUUCGGAAUUAUUGGGCGUAAAGGGUGCGUAGGCGGUGCGGUAAGUCUCUUGUGAAAUCUCCGGGCUCAACCCGGAGCCUGCAAGGGAAACUGCCGUGCUUGAGUGUGGGAGAGGUGAGUGGAAUUCCCGGUGUAGCGGUGAAAUGCGUAGAUAUCAGGAGGAACACCGGUGGUGUAAACGGCUUUCUGGACCAUAACUGACACUGAGGCACGAAAGCGUGGGUAGCAAACAGG
rnacentral:rRNA from 1 species